GCCGGAGUGGCGAAACUGGUAAACGCGGGGAUUUCCUAAAUCCCUUUGAGGGCUACUCAUUGCGGGUUCAAGUCCCGUCUCCGGUA
rnacentral:tRNA from 1 species